AUACAUGCAAGUCGAGCGGACAGAUGGGAGCUUGCUCCCUGAAGUCAGCGGCGGACGGGUGAGUAACACGUGGGCAACCUGCCUGUAAGACUGGGAUAACUCCGGGAAACCGGGGCUAAUACCGGAUAAUUCUUUCCCUCACAUGAGGGAAAGCUGAAAGAUGGUUUCGGCUAUCACUUACAGAUGGGCCCGCGGCGCAUUAGCUAGUUGGUGAGGUAACGGCUCACCAAGGCAACGAUGCGUAGCCGACCUGAGAGGGUGAUCGGCCACACUGGGACUGAGACACGGCCCAGACUCCUACGGGAGGCAGCAGUAGGGAAUCUUCCGCAAUGGACGAAAGUCUGACGGAGCAACGCCGCGUGAGUGAUGAAGGUUUUCGGAUCGUAAAACUCUGUUGUUAGGGAAGAACAAGUACCGGAGUAACUGCCGGUACCUUGACGGUACCUAACCAGAAAGCCACGGCUAACUACGUGCCAGCAGCCGCGGUAAUACGUAGGUGGCAAGCGUUGUCCGGAAUUAUUGGGCGUAAAGCGCGCGCAGGCGGUUCCUUAA
rnacentral:rRNA from 1 species